GCGCGGGUGGUGUAAUGGCAGCCACGCAGGCUUGAGGUGCCUGUGCCGAAAGGCGUGGAGGUUCGACUCCUCUCCCGCGCA
rnacentral:tRNA from 1 species